rnacentral:rRNA from 1 species
UGGGGAAUAUUGCACAAUGGGCGCAAGCCUGAUGCAGCGACGCCGCGUGAGGGAUGGAGGCCUUCGGGUUGUAAACCUCUUUCGCCAGUGAAGCAGGCCAUCUUCUUUGUGGGGUGGUUGACGGUAGCUGGAUAAGAAGCGCCGGCUAACUACGUGCCAGCAGCCGCGGUAAUACGUAGGGCGCGGGCGUUGUCCGGAAUUAUUGGGCGUAAAGAGCUCGUAGGCGGCUGGUCGCGUCUGUCGUGAAAUCCCCUGGCUUAACUGGGGGCUUGCGGUGGGUACGGGCCGGCUUGAGUGCGGUAGGGGAGACUGGAAUUCCUGGUGUAGCGGUGGAAUGCGCAGAUAUCAGGAGGAACACCGGUGGCGAAGGCGGGUCUCUGGGCCGUUACUGACGCUGAGGAGCGAAAGCGUGGGGAGCGAACAGG